GAUGAACGCUGGCGGCGUGCCUAAUACAUGCAAGUCGAGCGAACAGACGCGGAGCUUGCUCCUCUGACGUUAGCGGCGGACGGGUGGGUAACACGUGGAUAACCUACCUAUAAGACUGGGAUAACUUCGGGAAACCGGAGCUAAUACCGGACAAUAUAUUGAACCGCAUGGUUCAAUAGUGAAAGACGGUUUUGCUGUCACUUCUAGAUGGAUCCGCGCCGCAUUAGCUAGUUGGUAAGGUAACGGCUUACCAAGGCAACGAUGCGUAGCCGACCUGAGAGGGUGAUCGGCCACCCUGGAACUGAGACACGCUCCAGACUCCUACGGGAGGCACCAGUAGGGAAUCUUCCGCAAUGGGCGAAAGCCUGACGGAGCAACGCCGCGUGAGUGAUGAAGGUCUUCGGAUCGUAAAACUCUGUUAUUAGGGAAGAACAAAUGUGUAAGUAACUAUGCACGUCUUGACGGUACCUAAUCAGAAAGCCACGGCUAACUACGUG
rnacentral:rRNA from 1 species